rnacentral:rRNA from 1 species
CUUCAAGAUGAGGUAUCCCACCCACCUUGGUGGGGUAAGGCCCCCAGCUAGACGACUGGGUUGAUAGGCCGGAACUGUAAGCCCGGUAACGGGUUCAGGUGACCGGUACUAAUAGGCCGAGGACUUGACUAC